rnacentral:lncRNA from 1 species
GAGGCGUUCUCUUGAAGAUUUCUUGGAUUUUCGGCGGAAACGAGAGAACGAGUUUCUCCCUCUUGAUCACUCUCUCGACGGGGUCUCGAAUCUUCGGCGAACACCAGAGAACUGGUCUCUCCCUCUCAAUUGCUCUCGGUUCCGGUGUUUCUGAGAGUUUUUCGACGGAUUUCUCUUUCGCUUUGAGGCAAGGAUUGGUGACAUCGGCGACGAUGCCCACGCUUAACUGAUCUUCUCUCUGGAUCGGGCUCA